rnacentral:misc_RNA from 1 species
GUUAGAAGAAGGUAACCUUCAUUCAGCAGUUUUUAGUCCUGCUGACAAUCAUCUUAACGGGUCAGGUGAUACGAAGACUGCUAAAGAUUCAAAGGCAAGGUAUAGAGGCAAAUAUGUCUAGACAGACAAAAUUUCAUGGGGCAAUAUACCUUUAAUAUGGUCGGGCUAUUCGCAUUAUGAUGAGAACUCUUACCACAAAGCUCUUUAGUGGUCUCAUUUGAGCUGGGAUUGAUUCAUCAGUUGUCUAUACACUUAACAUGUAUUUGACUAUUUCCUUGGUGCGACUACUUUAUUAGCCUUACUGCCUAUACAAGUAGUGUAUUCUGCAAAAGAAAGUUCAUUGACACCCAA